rnacentral:lncRNA from 1 species
UCUCGCUCGGAAGAGGUUUCCUACUCGCUAAAGGAUUCUCGCAGGCUUAUGGGCCAAAUUGCAGCUAAUCUGUGCCUCACCGAAGUCCAACGGAUAUUCUAGACCCAAGAGCUAUCCAAGGGAGCCCAAGAUGGUUGGUCCAAGGGGCUGAAGCCUGAAGACUGAAGGCCCAUGGGCCUUGAUUCCAAGAUGGGACCCAAAAGAGGCUGUCAAGACCAAACCAGGGAGAACCAAGGGGUGCAAGCCCUAUAUUUAUUCUAAAAGAUCAAGAAGAAGGGUGGUAGUGACCCAAGAAAAGGAUCAAGGCUCCACCAAGCUCGAUCAUAAGCCAUGGGAACCAUGGUCGAGGGGAGGUAAUCAUGAGGAGGUUCGAUCACUCAACGAAACUUAUUAUUGAGGAAUCUUAUUCGGAGGAGGAGACAACAUCUUCCAUAGCUAACUAAAAGAUGAAGCAGGAGUGCCACACAGAAGGACAAGCAGUCAAGAAAACUCUUGGCCUCAAAGGACCAAUAAGCUAAAAAGAAUGAGGAGUCCAUGAGAGCACACCCUUCGGCUAAGGAGACCUUAUACAAGCCCAAGUACGUUCGUCUAUUCCUACUACAAGUCUUAUAAGUUCCAAAAAUUUCAGAUCAAAGAUUAUUCAAGGAAAUCUUAAAAAGUGAAGGAGAGAAGCCAAAUUCAAAAAGUAAG